UCAUGCAAACAUGCCUGAUAUCUCUCAUGAAACAAAGUCUGCCCACAGGAAACUAGCGGGUGCUUCUGGAUGUAUUUGUUGGAUAUGUGCAAGAGGAUAUCAAGCCUCGAGGAGAUGGGUAAAACAAACAGGAAAGGACAAAGCAAUGCCAUAAUGAAAAAUAGUUUCUUGGAGUUUUAUAAUGGCAACAAUUUAGUAUUAAUUUCAAAGGGUCUGAGUGUAGGUGUUGUACCUCUUCUGCACAGCAGCAGCUUGAGUUCUGGUCAGAGUGGACAGCAGGGCUUGGCCAUCCUCCUCUUCAGCUCCUGAGAUCAAUGUGGAUAAACCUACGUCUUGCAGCCAUUCUGC